UACAGAGGUCUCAAGCGUUGUUCGGAUUCAUUGGGCGUAAAGGGUGCGUAGGUGGCGCGGUAAGUCGGGUGUGAAAUUCGAUGCUUAACUCCGAAACUGCAUUCGAUACUGCCGUGCUUGAGGACUGGAGAGGAGACUGGAAUUUACGGUGUAGCGGUGAAAUGCGUAGAUAUCGUAAGGAAGACCAAUGGCGAAGGCGGGUCUCUGGACAGUUC
rnacentral:rRNA from 1 species